ACAGAUGUUGGUUUGACAUUUGACAAGGCCAAGAUGACUUUAGUUGCUCCUCUAUUGGCUUCAUCGGUUAUGAUGCUUCAAAUUUAAGCGCAUUAGGCAACAAAACACUCAAGUUCAGCUUUCUGGAUUCACUGUGGUCAGUUUUGCCAAUUCUGGGAUUGGAAAAUUAAAAGAUGGCAGUGCAGAACUAAAUGUGUCAAAUUUAG
rnacentral:misc_RNA from 1 species